rnacentral:misc_RNA from 1 species
GAUGAAGAACGUAGCGAAAUGCGAUAAGUAAUGUGAAUUGCAGAAUUCAGUGAAUCAUCGAAUCUUUGAACGCACAUUGCGCCCCUCGGUAUUCCGAGGGGCAUGCCUGUUCGAGCGUCAUUAUAACCCUUCAAGCUCAGCUUGGUGUUGGGGCCUGCUGUAACUGGUAGCCCUUAAAAUCAGUGGCAGUGCUAUUAGGCUCUAAGCGUAGUAUUUCUUCUCGCUAUAGUGUGUAGUGAGCGCUUGCCAGAACCCCAAACUUUUAUAUGAUUGACCUCGGAUCAGGUAGGGAUACCCGCUGAACUUAAGCAUAUCAAUAAGCGGAGGA